rnacentral:rRNA from 1 species
AUUGAACGCUGGCGGCAUGCUUUACACAUGCGAGUCGAACGGUAACAGGCCGCAAGGUGCUGACGAGUGGCGAACGGGUGAGUAAUGCAUCGGAACGUGCCCAGUCGUGGGGGAUAACUACUCGAAAGAGUAGCUAAUACCGCAUACGAUCUAUGGAUGAAAGCGGGGGACCGUAAGGCCUCGCGCGAUUGGAGCGGCCGAUGUCAGAUUAGGUAGUUGGUGGGGUAAAGGCUCACCAAGCCAACGAUCUGUAGCUGGUCUGAGAGGACAACCAGCCACACUGGGACUGAGACACGGCCCAGACUCCUACGGGAGGAAGCAGUGGGGAAUUUUGGACAAUGGGCGCAUGCCUGAUCCAGCAAUGCCGCGUGCAGGAAGAAGGCCUUCGGGUUGUAAACUGCUUUUGUACGGAACGAAACAGCUCUGGUUAAUACCCGGGGCUAAUGACGGUACCGUAAGAAUAAGCACCGGCUAACUACGUG